UACUGCCAAUGACUUAAACUCUUUAUUAAGUGAAAGAAAAACAAUGGUCAUGAUUCAAUGGCAACAAAUCGAAGCUCUUCUGAAGGCAGCUUGUCAACUUCCUCUCCACACUUAUGUGUCAGAAAAAGGAAAAGCAGCUUCUGAACCUCAUUUGUUCCACCAGAUGAUGAAGCUAUGUAUCCACCGGCAAUCCCGAGUGAGAACCCAAUAUGAUAUGGCAGAUGAAGCAAAUAGGAUACCCUUAAUGGUUCUCUUUUACAGUCUUUGUAUGAGUGCAUGUGCUAAGGUUACAGGUGCAGUGGUUACAUCUGCAGAGAGGGUUUACGAGGAACUGACGAAAUACAGAAAUGUUGAAGUUGGCUGGAGUUCUCAUUCCACCUUAGCCAACAUCAUCACAAGGUCAGUUCUUGUUGAGAAGACAUUUGCACCUUUGGUAUUUGUUCCUCAUCAUCCUUUAAUCAAGCCGUCUUUCCUGGGCUUCAAGGAGGUCCACACAAUUACUGGAUUAACAGUUGCACUGAAACAGGCUACUAAUCCUGAGCACAAGGCUUAUCAAGAACAAGUUCUCAGAAACUGCUCGCAGUUUGACAAAACCUUGAACGCGUCUGGAUAUGACCUUGUAUCUGGUGAGUGGUGGUACUGAGAACCAUUUAGUCUUGGUCAAUCUGAAAAACAAGAUGUUGCGUGCUUCUCUAUGUAGAGAGUUCUCCAACCACAUGUGUGCGCCAAGUAUACAUGGUGCAAAAUUGAAGGACUUUAUGGCCGCAGUUGAAAACAGUCCUAGCAUUCAGUCUGAAAUAACAUAUCUCCGUCAUGACGUUGAGGAGUACGCAAAGCAAUACCCUACAAUUGGGUUCUGCAAAACAACAGUGAGAUACAA